rnacentral:rRNA from 1 species
UAUGGAGGGGGGCUAGCGUUGUUCGGAAUUACUGGGCGUAAAGCGCACGUAGGCGGCUUUGUAAGUUAGAGGUGAAAGCCCAGGGCUUAACCCUGGAAUUGCCUUUAAGACUGCAUCGCUAGAAUCGUGGAGAGGUGAGUGGAAUUCCGAGUGUAGAGGUGAAAUUCGUAGAUAUUCGGGAAGAAACACCAGUGGCGAAGGCGACUCACUGGACACGUAUUGACGCUGAGGUGCGAAAGCGUGGGGAGCAAACAGG